rnacentral:lncRNA from 1 species
UCAUAACAAUAAGACUUUAAUGCCCGUUUUCACCAACAACCUCUUACCGUUUCCCUAUCUAAAAGCUACUUUUAAUAAGGACCCCUCCCAAUUUGACACCUACCUAAAUUCAUUUUCACCACACUUGUACAUGGAUCCCUUAAGUAAGUGACAGAUUACUAGUUCUACAAACGAUAAUGCAAAGUCGAUAUUUUAUCGAUAAAAUGAUUUUUCUCUACUUCUUAAGAAAUAAACGUCUAUCGAGUAUAUAUUACUAAAGCCUAUAAGUUUAUUUUGGCAGAGAAGAGAAAACGAGGAUAAACCUUUCUUGCAGAAGAAAAAGACAAGCUAGUGAAAUUGCAGACGUCUCAUAGAGACACAAUAUUAAUCAAAAAACGGAUGGGACCACGAACGAAGCCAAAAACAAAGCUUGGAUCCAGUUACAAAUAGUUUUAAUGCGAUAGGAACCGUUUACAGUUUCAGGUGGUGCGAGAAAUUGGAAAGACGUGUAAAAACAUGCUGCGCUCAGCCCACCUCAAAUUGAAUUGGUGCAGGAGGAUGAUGAUAAUGUUUGGUACAUCAUAUGAGGACUAAUAUUAAAAUAUUUGUUUACUA